GACGUAGGGCGCGAGCGUUGUCCGGAUUUAUUGGGCGUAAAGAGCUCGUAGGCGGUGUGUCGCGUCGGCCGUGAAAACCUGCAGCUUAACUGUGGGCUUGCGGUCGAUACGGGCAUCACUGGAGUUCGGCAGGGGAGACUGGAAUUCCUGGUGUAGCGGGUGAAAUGCGCAGAUAUCAGGAGGAACACCGGUGGCGAAGGCGGGUCUCUGGGCCGAUACUGACGCUGGAGG
rnacentral:rRNA from 1 species